rnacentral:tRNA from 1 species
GGAGCGGUUCCCGAGCGGCCAAAGGGGGCAGACUGUAAAUCUGUUGGCAGACGCCUUCGGUGGUUCGAAUCCACCCCGCUCCACCA